GACGAACGCUGGCGGCGUGCUUAACACAUGCAAGUCGAACGGAGAGGCCCUGCUUUUGUGGGGUGCUCGAGUGGCGAACGGGUGAGUAACACGUGAGUAACCUGCCCUUGACUUUGGGAUAACUUCAGGAAACUGGGGCUAAUACCGGAUAGGAGCUCCUGCUGCAUGGUGGGGGUUGGAAAGUUUCGGCGGUUGGGGAUGGACUCGCGGCUUAUCAGCUUGUUGGUGGGGUAGUGGCUUACCAAGGCUUUGACGGGUAGCCGGCCUGAGAGGGUGACCGGCCACAUUGGGACUGAGAUACGGCCCAGACUCCUACGGGAGGCAGCAGUGGGGAAUAUUGCACAAUGGGCGGAAGCCUGAUGCAGCAACGCCGCGUGCGGGAUGACGGCCUUCGGGUUGUAAACCGCUUUCGCCUGUGACGAAGCGUGAGUGACGGUAAUGGGUAAAGAAGCACCGGCUAACUACGUGCCAGCAGCCGCGGUGAUACGUAGGGUGCGAGCGUUGUCCGGAUUUAUUGGGCGUAAAGGGCUCGUAGGUGGUUGAUCGCGUCGGAAGUGUAAUCUUGGGGCUUAACCCUGAGCGUGCUUUCGAUACGGGUUGACUUGAGGAAGGUAGGGGAGAAUGGAAUUCCUGGUGGAGCGGUGGAAUGCGCAGAUAUCAGGAGGAACACCAGUGGCGAAGGCGGUUCUCUGGGCCUUUCCUGACGCUGAGGAGCGAAAGCGUGGGGAGCGAACAGGCUUAGAUACCCUGGUAGUCCACGCUGUAAACGGUGGGUACUAGGUGUGGGGUCCAUUCCACGGGUUCCGUGCCGUAGCUAACGCUUUAAGUACCCCGCCUGGGGAGUACGGCCGCAAGGCUAAAACUCAAAGGAAUUGACGGGGCCCCGCACAAGCGGCGGAGCAUGCGGAUUAAUUCGAUGCAACGCGUAGAACCUUACCUGGGUUUGACAAGGAUCGGGAGCGCUCAGAGAUGGGUGUGCCUCUUUUGGGGUCGGUUCACAGGUGGUGCAUGGCUGUCGUCAGCUCGUGUCGUGAGAUGUUGGGUUAAGUCCCGCAACGAGCGCAACCCUUGUUCACUGUUGCCAGCACGUUAUGGUGGGGACUCAGUGGAGACCGCCGGGGUCAACUCGGAGGAAGGUGGGGAUGACGUCAAGUCAUCAUGCCCCUUAUGUCCAGGGCUUCACGCAUGCUACAAUGGCUGGUACAGAGAGUGGCGAGCCUGUGAGGGUGAGCGAAUCUCGGAAAGCCGGUCUCAGUUCGGAUUGGGGUCUGCAACUCGACCUCAUGAAGUCGGAGUCGCUAGUAAUCGCAGAUCAGCAACGCUGCGGUGAAUACGUUCCCGGG
rnacentral:rRNA from 1 species